CCGACUAGUUAAUAGGGUAUUUAAAUCACAUAUAUUCUCAAUUCAAUUACAAUUUUUCACAUUUUCAAUUCAAUCAUUUUUCCACCUUUCAAUCAAUAAUUAUUUCACAACUUCACACAUUUUCACAACUCAAUACAUUUCCAUACAAUUUAAUACCAUUCACAAUUCGAUUCAAAUUCAUUUCCCGCUUUUAAUCAACAAACAAUUCAAAUAUUAUUUCAUAUCAACUAUUCAAUUUAAUUCCCACUCAUAAUAAUAAUAAUAAUACUAAUAAUAAUACUAAUACUUACCUCACAUUUCAUUUACUAGACACAUAAAUUAAAAUUUAACAUUU
rnacentral:lncRNA from 1 species